ensembl:lncRNA
GUUCAGUUCAGUUGCUCAGCUGUGUCUGACUCUUGCAGCCCCAUGGACGGGAGCAUGCCAGGCUUCCUUGUCCAUCACCAACUCCCGGAGCUUGCUCAAACUCACGUCCAUUGAGUCGGUGAUGCCAUCCAAACAUCUCAUCCUCUGUCGUCCCCUUCUCCUGCCUUCAAUCUUUCCCUGCGUCAGGGUCUUUUCUAAUGAGUCUGCUCUUUGCAUCAGGUGGCCAAGUAUUGGGGUUUCAGCUUCAGCGGCAGUCCUUGAAAUGAAUAUUCAGGACUGAUUUCCUUUAGAAUGGACUGGUUGGAUCUCCUUGCUGUCCAAUGGCCUCUCAAGAAUCUUCUCCAACACCUCAGUUCAAAAGAAUCAAUUCUUCGGCACUUAGCUUUCUUUAUAGUCCCAACUCUCACAUCCAUACAUGACUGCUGGAAAAACCAAAGCUUCGACUAUAUGCACCCGAGGAGCUCCAAUGGCUCAAUCAGUUAGUGCACAGUACUUGUAAGACCAUACGGACCUUUGUUGACAAAGUAACAUCCCUCCUUUUUAAGACGCUGCCUACGUUUGUCGUAGCUUUUCUUCCAAGAAGUAAGCAUCUUUUAAUUUCAUGGCUGCAGUUACCAUCUGCAGUGAUUCUUUUUUUUUGGAGCCCAAGAAAGUAAAGUCUGUCUCUGUUUCCAUUGUUUCCCCAUUUGUUUGCCAGGAAGUGAUGGGACCAGUUGCCAUGAUCUUUGUUUUUUGAAUGUUGAGUUUCAAGCCAGCUUCCUCACUGUCUUCUUUUAUAUUGAUGUAGCUUUCAGUAUAAUUUAAUACUUGGUAAGACAAAUCCUUCUUUGUUACUUUUCCAGAAGUUUAGGAUACUCUACAGUUUAUUUUUCCAAAUGUCUUUAGAGUCCUUUCUGUCUGAUUCCAUUCAAAACCAUGUUAACAUUUAUUGGUAGAUUUGGGUAGAAUUUAUAUCUGUACAGUCUGUAGUUUUCUAACUCAUAAAAUGAUACACUCUUUAUUAGUCUUAUUUAUUUUUAGGUGAUGUGAAAGAUUUUGUAAGCUUUUGUUAAUAUAUGAAAAAGUUGUAUAUUUAAGCUAUUCAUAUGUUUAACUCUUAGUUUUAAUAAUUUUACAUUAAUUCUAAUGGGAAAUUUUUAAACAGUGUAUCUUUAAAUAAAGAGAGCUUUGUUAAAUGAACUUUACUUGUGGUUUAGAUGACAUUAAAAGCACUUUUAGGGUAGUGCAUUGAGUUUGGCUAGUUUAUAUCACAUGAUUUUUUUACAGUGCAGGAUAAAUGAUGAUUUCUUCAGUCUUUAUUUGGUGAAUAGUAGUGAAUAAUUCAAACAUUUGUGUUCUUUAAACAUCUUUAUUUGGUGAAAGUAUAAUCUCAGAUGUCUGUGAAAAUAUAGUAGCCUUAUGUCCUGUAGGUGGUUUUUGUUUGUUUUACUGUUUAAAUUCUUUUGUUUGUUUCUGCUUAGGAUAACAGAGAAUUAUUUUCUCCCAGCUCUGGAGGCUAACCAGCCAAAAUGAAGUUGUUACCUGAUCCGUGAACCCUCUGAGGGUGCUAAGGAAGGCUCUUUCCUAGGGCUCUUGCCUGACUCCUUGUAGCCUCAAGCAUUCACUGGGUUGUAGAUGGCCGUCUUCUUGUCUCUCUUCACAUGUUUUAUAUAAAGUUUCCCUCUUUAUAAGGACACAAAUCAUAUUGGAUUCAGGUCCACUCUAAUGACCUCAUUUUAAGUGAUGACCUCUGUAAAGACAAUAUCUCCAAACCAGGUUAUAUUCUGAGGUACUGGAGGUUAGGAUUAUAACAUGUAAACUUAAUACGUUUAUGUUUUUACUUUUUAUUUUGAAAUUGCGUCUUACUUAGAAAAGAUGCAAAUAGCACAGUAAAACUCUUGUAUACCAUUUACGUAGAUUCGUCAAGUUUUCAAAUUUUCCCACAUUUGCAUUGUUCUCUGGUUCUCUGCCUCCUUUUACCUAAUCUACAUGUACACAAUUUAUUUUUGAUGAACUUGUUGAGAGAGUGAAGUUGUGUAUAUUUUACCCUUACUAUUUUAGUUUCUGUUUUCUAAAAAUAGUGAUAUUCCCAUAUGUUCACACUUAGGUUAUGGAAUUCAGGAAAUUUUACUUGAUACAAUACUCGAAUCUGUUACACUUGUGUCUGCUACCGCUAUCUCAAGUCUUUAAUGUUAGACUUUCUCUCCCUUCCCUGUAGUAGAGGAUUCGGUCUGGGAUCACAUAUUGUUUUUGUUGUCAUGUCUUUUUUAACCUGGAACAGUUCCUUAGUUGUCCUUUGUCUUCCAUGACAGUAACAUUUUUGAGAAUGUAAGCCAGUUAUUUUACACAGUAUUCCUCGCUUUGGAGUUGCCUUUUUCUCAUUAUUAGAUUUAGGCGAUGCGUCUCUGGCCAGAAUUCUACAUAAAUGACAGUGUUUCUUUUCUCAGGCUGCCCCAUUCGGAAGCAUGGUAUAUCUGACCUUACUUGUCAUCAGUAGUGUUGAUUUUAAUCACCUGGUCAAGACGUUGUAUUUCCCUCUUUACAACAAAGAAACAAACUGUGGGGAGAUACUUGAAUACCAUGCCAGUUUCUUACUUCCCAUGAAAUUCUCUACUCCCCCUCUAGAGGUAACUGGUCUUUGCUAUUUGUAAGUUAAGUCAAGUCGGUCAGUCGUGUCCGACUCUUUGCGACCCCAUGGACUGUAGCCCAUCAGGCUCCUCCGUCCAUGGGAUUCUCCAGUGUUCUUGCCUGGAUAGAGGAGCCUGGCAGGCUACAGUGGGGUCACAAAAAAGCCAGACAUGACUGAGUGACUAAACGCCAACAGUAGCAAUCAUCCUGCCUCAUUCUGUAGGGCCCCUUACUGCCUUACGUCUGUGUCUGUCCAGCUGUAUCAGUAUGGACUAAUGGACUUUAUUCAGUGGGUUAUAAUCCGGUACAGCUCUUAUGUUCUUUUGUUGUCAUUUGUAUUUAAUUUUUUUAAUUUAAUGGAAUUUUAAAGUUAACUGUUCACUUACAGUUAGUAAAAAAAAUUGACUAUAUUUUCAGUGUUGUGCAGUGCAUCCUUGAGUUUAUCUUACACCCACUAGUUUGUACCUCCCACUCUCCCACCCCUGUGCUGGCCCCCUACCCCAGCUCCACUGGUAACCACUGGUUUGCUCUCUGCAUCUGUGAGCCAUCUGCUUUUUUUGUCGUACUCACUAGUUUGUUGUAUGUCUUUAGAUUCCACAAAAAGUGAUAUCAUAUAGUAUUUGUCUUACUUCAUUUCACAUAAUACCCUCCAUGUCAUACAUGUUGCUACAAAUGGCAAAAUUUUGUUCUUUUUUAUGGCUGAGUAGUAUUCCAUUGUAUAUAUGUAGCACAUCCUCUUUAUCCGUCCAUCUACAACCUUUAUGUGUUUUGAGGUUUGUAUCGUUCCAGGUUCUGAAAUUGGGAGUCCCUUCAUCCUGGCUCUGGUGUAUUUUCGAUGUGGCCUUAUCGUUUCUGUGUGCUCUUCUUUACUUUCUGACAUACUAGUGUUCCAGGCUCAUGUUGGACCUUCUGUGCCCUUAUCUAUGUCUCUCAGGAGGCUAGGUUUCUCUAAAUGGAGAAACAACAUAUGGAAACCAAGAUACGGGCAUUAGUUUUUUUCAUUGGUCCUGGGUGACAUUCACAAAUUCAUUUACACUCCAGUUGGAUAGGCAUAAGCCAAAGUAAGUUUACUGGUAUUUCACCAACAAAGCAAAGAAACAAACAACGUCUUCUGUAUUCUGUGGGUUAAUGCAGAUAAAUUAUUCUCACCGGUCAUUUGCAUUUUAUUUUGUUAGAAUUCGACUGAAAAGAUGUUGACAUUUCUUCAAGGAUUGUGUCACUGCAUUUUUCUAGUUGCAGACUGUGAUGAUAAAGCCAAGUGUGCGUCUCCUUCUGAGUGAGUAAAGCGCGCUGUGGCUCCUAGAGCUUCGCCAGCCUUUUCUUAGAGCCCUCUGUCAAUCGGCAACAGUGUCCACAGAAACCUACAACUUGCAUCCCAUCUAUUUUUGAAAAUGUGUACCUUCAUUUUACUUAGUUCAAAUUAUUCUUAAAUGUCCCUUGAGAAUUCUUCUUUGACCCAUUUCCUAUUUAGAAGUGCAUUGUUUAAAUCUCCAAGUAUUUUGAGAUUUUUCGAGUAUCUUUCUGUUUUCAGUUCUAGGUUAAUUCCUUGAUAGUCUGAGAAGAGAUAAUUGUAUGAUUUCUGUUCUUGUAACUUUGUUAAGGUGUGCCCCAGAAUGUGGCCGGCUUUAGUGAAUAUUCCAUGCAAGGGUAUGGAACUCUAGGUUUUCUUUUUUUUCCCCUUCUUUUGACGUUUUAAAUAUCCCAUUGCACUCUCUUCUUGGCUGCACGGCUUCUGUGAAGGCCAGUGUGAUUCUCACCUUUGCUUGUCUAUAGGUAAUUGUUUUUUCCUUCUAUUUCCUUUCGAGGUUUUUUAUGGAACACUCUGUUUUCUGCAGUUUGAAGUGAUGUAUAUAGGUGUAGUUUUGGUCCCUUGCCCUGCUUGGUGCUCAUUGACUUCCCGGGUCUGCAGUUUGGUGUCUGACACUAACUUGGAGAAAUUGUCGGUCAUCGGUGUUUGAGGUGUUCCUGUCCUUUUCUUUCUUCUUCUUCUCCUCCUUCUUAUAUUCCUUUUACGCAUAUGUUACACCUUUUAUAGUUGUUCCACAGUUCUCUGACGUUCUGUUAUUUUGGGUCUGGUUUUUUGGGGAGGGUUGGUUGUUUACGUUUCAGUUCUGGAGAUUUUUCCUGACAUCAUCUGCAAGCUCAGAAGUGCUUUUCUCAGCCACGUCUAGUCUACUGAUGAGUUCAACCAAGGCACUUUUCAUUUUUGUUAGUGUUUUUGGUUUCUAGUAUUUCAUUUUGCUUCUCUCUUAGAAUUUCUCUCUCCCUGCGUAUGUGACGCACCUGUUCCUGCAUGUUGCUUACCCUGCCCCUCAGAGCCCGUGGCAUAUUAUUAAGAAUAGUUGCUUCAAGUUCCCAGUCUAAUGACUCCGUCAUCUCUGCCAUAUGAGCCUGGUUUCUGAUGUUUGCUCUGUCUCUUCACUGUUUUUUGCCUUUAGUGUGCCUUGUAGUUUUUUUCUUGCCAAACCACAUAGAAUAUACUGGGUAAAAGGAAUUGCUGUAAGUAGGCCUUUAGUAUUUGCCAACAAAGGUCUGUAUAGUCAAAGUUGUGGUUUUCCCAGUUGUCAUGUAUGGAUGUGAGAGUUGGACCAUGAAGAAUGGAGAGCGCCAAAGAAUUGAUGCUUUUGAACUGUGGCGCUGGAGAGGACGCAUGAGAGCUCCCUGGACUGCAGGGAGAGCAGACUAGUCAAUCCAGCCUGAAUAUUCACUGGGAGGGCUGAUGCUGAAGCUGAAGCUCUAAUGCUUUGGCUGCCUGAUGCAAGGAGCCAGCUCAUUAGAAAAGACCCUGAUGCUGGGAAAGAUGGAAGGCAAAAGGAGAAGGGAGGACAGAGGAUGAGGUGAUUCGGUAGCACCACUGAGUCAAUGGACAUGAAUUUGAGCAAAUUCUGGGAGACAGUGGAGGACCGAGGAGCCUGGCAUGCUACGAUCAGUUGGGUCCCAAACAGAUAUGACUCAGUGACUAAACAGCAGUUGUGGGGUUAAGGUGUGGGGUGAGGAAGUGUUCCCUGGUUAGGUCUCUCUCUCGGUGAUCCUGUGCUUCUGGACUAUAGAUCUCACUUUUCUAGUGAGCUUUUGUCUUUGGACUUCGAACUUCACAAGUGCUUCUUAGUUGUUUUACAAUUCGAUUUUAUUUCCCCUUUCCCUGACAUGGAAGGCUAGACGGGGCUAGAAUUUGCUGUUUCCCUUCUUGGCUCGCUAGACUCUGAAGAAACGCAAGUUUCAACUCUGAUCAAAUAGUUUUUCUUGAAAGGCAAGUCUUGUUAAGAAGAUACAGAAUGCUCUGGCAUAUUUCAAAAUGGUAUUUUUCCUGUCCCCUUGUUUAAUCACAUCUUUUCCUCCACUGUUCACUGUGAUGACCUGGUAGAGCUGGAGGUUAAAAAAUUCACAAAUAUGGGAGUCCCCCAUGACUGGGUCACUUAAAACAGUUUUUAAAAUACUCAGUUACCUUCCUGUCUUCUCUGAAGGUGAUUUUCCUCCCCCCCGCCCCACCUCCCGUUCUUUUCUGUUGUUAGGAACUCAGUGGAUCUAAACAGAUUUGAUGGGAUUCUGUCCAUUGCGAUACUUAGACUCAGCUUUCCCAUCUUUGGCCAUUAGGAGUCUUCAGUUUGGCUCCGGCGUCCUUUUGACAUGACUCAGAUAGUCCCUGAUUUGCUUCUUUACCUUUUAAAAUAAGACAUUCCAAGAACAUCUUUUAAAUUUUCUGCCUCAAACAUGGAAUAUCUCCAUGAAGCCUGGCUCAUUUCACUGGGAAAUGAGACUUCACAGUCACCAUCUGGACUCCAGGGGCGCUCAUCGCUGCUUACUUGUCCUGUACGUCCAGGCCUUUUCAGUGGAUCACGCGAGAAACAGAAGCUGGGGAAUCUGGUUUUCAGUGUUACGAGAGUGGUAAGAGCAUUCCAUAAUUGCUCAUUUAUUUCAUCACCUGUUAUAUAUCUGACAGCUUCACAAUGAUAAAACGUAUACUUUAUCAACAGUAUUACUGAAAAGAGUUAAAAACAAUUUUUUCAUAUCUCUCCAUUUCUAUCCUAUAGUUAGUUACACUGUAUACAUAUUAUCAGGUCGUAUAGCUAUUAAUGUUAUAUACCACUCUUUUUUUCCUUUUCAUCUUCAUUUAGUUUACAAGUAACAAUUAAUGCUUACUUCCAGUCCUCUUGUUAAUGUUCCUCUAAUCUUGUUAAUUCUUUGAAGCUUAUUCUCUGGAUUUCUCUAGACUCUUGAGAACAGAAUUCCCUGGGUUUUUAUAUGAUGAUAAUAUAUAUUGUUUAUACUUGAAAAUUAGUUUAACUGGCUAUAAAAUUCUUGGCUCUUAUUUUCUUUCCUCGAACAUUUUACCUUUUCUUGGCAUUAAAAAAAAGUGUUGCUUUUAGGAAAAAAAUUUAUUGGUAAUGUGGUUUUCUUUUAAAUUAUUUGACAUUUUG